GACCUCAUAGCUCAACGAUUAGAGCUGCGGACUCUUAAUCCGUCGAUCAGGGUUUGAAUCCCUGUGGGGUCA
rnacentral:tRNA from 1 species